rnacentral:rRNA from 1 species
UGGGGAAUAUUGGGCAAUGGGCGCAAGCCUGACCCAGCGAUGCCGCGUGAAUGAUGAAGGCCUUCGGGUUGUAAAGUUCUUUUAGUAGGGAAGAUAAUGACGGUACCUACAGAAAAAGCACCGGCUAACUUCGUGCCAGCAGCCGCGGUAAUACGAAGGGUGCUAGCGUUGUUCGGAAUUACUGGGCGUAAAACGCGUGCAGGUGGUCUAGUAAGUUGAAAGUAAAAUCCCAGGGCUCAACCUUGGAACUGCUUUCAAAACUGCUAGGCUAGAGUGCGGUAGAGGAUGAUAGAAUUCCUAGUGUAGAGGUGAAAUUCUUAGAUAUUAGGAGGAAUACCGAUGGCGAAGGCAAUCAUCUGGGCCGUUACUGACACUAAUACGCGAAAGCGUGGGGAGCAAACA